rnacentral:rRNA from 1 species
AUUGAACGCUGGCGGCAGGCCUAACACAUGCAAGUCGAGCGGAUCGGCGGACGGGUGAGUAAUGCCUAUGUAUCUGCCUGUUAGUGGGGGAUAACGUCCGCAAACGGGCGCUAUUACCGCAUCCUCUCACAUUAGCCUAGGUCGGAUUAGCUAGUUGGUGGGGUAAAGGCCUACCAAGGCGACGAUCCGUAACUGGUCUGAGAGGAUGAUCAUACACACUGGAACUGAGACACGGUCCAGACUCCUACGGGAGGAAGCAGUGGGGAAUAUUGGACAAUGGGCGAAAGCCUGAUACAGCCAUGCCGCGGGUGUGAAGAAGGUCUUCGGAUUGUAAAGCACUUUAAGUUGGGAGGCGUUACCAACAGAAUAAGCACCGGCUAACUUCGUGCCAGCAGCCGCGGUAAUAC